rnacentral:misc_RNA from 1 species
GUAGGUGAACCUGCGGAAGGAUCAUUACCGAGUUCAUGCCCUUCGGGGUAGAUCUCCCACCCUUUGUAUACUAUACCUCUGUUGCUUUGGCGGGCCGCCUAGCUACUGGCUUCGGCUGGUAAGUGCCUGCCAGAGGACCCCAAAUUCUGAAUUAUAGUGUCGUCUGAGAACUAUAUAAUAGUUAAAACUUUCAACAACGGAUCUCUUGGUUCUG